rnacentral:rRNA from 1 species
UACGGGGGGGGCAAGCGUUGUUCGGAAUUACUGGGCGUAAAGGGCUCGUAGGCGGCCAACUAAGUCAGACGUGAAAUCCCUCGGCUUAACCGGGGAACUGCGUCUGAUACUGGAUGGCUUGAGUUUGGGAGAGGGAUGCGGAAUUCCAGGUGUAGCGGUGAAAUGCGUAGAUAUCUGGAGGAACACCGGUGGCGAAAGCGGCUCACUGGACCUGAUCUGACACUGAGGUGCGAAAGCUAGGGUAGCAAACGGG